GUGAGAGCACUGCUAGGCUAUUUGUCAAACAUGGAGCCAAGGUACUCAUCGCAGACGUUCAAGAUGAUCUUGGCCAGUCAAUCUGCCAGGAAUUUGACUCCCAAGAGACCAUCUCUUAUGUCCACUGCGAUGUUACUUGUGACUCUGAUGUUCAAAACGCUGUGGAUACUGCCGUUUCCAGGUAUGGAAAGCUCGAUAUAAUGUUCAACAAUGCUGGA
rnacentral:misc_RNA from 1 species